CAGGUAAGCUGCACAUAUGGGUCCUCUGUGAAUACACGUCACAGGCCCAUAAAGCUGGUCUAGCUCAUGGGUUUGCUUUACUUGAUCUGAAAGACUGUACCUCUAAACAGUAGGCUGGGAGAGAAGGGGAGAAUCUGAUAAGCCCACAAUGGCUAUUGCUUUUGAUGGCCAGUGUGAAGGGUUUGAAGUGCCAAAAAUCUUGGCUUUCUCUGCCCACCGAAGUUAAAUAAAAAAUACGGGGGCAGAAUUUGGAGGAAGUAGAAAGGUGGCUUUCAUCCUCAGCUAGUGGAGGGGAGAACGCAGUGGGCUGGUGCCUCCAGAGCUGGGCCCCUCCUCCCUUGAGGAGUCCAGGGGCUUAUAUAAGAUGAAGGCUCACAGUCAUGGGGAGGUGAUGAGGAACAAAGGUCCUUCUUUCUGAAAUGCAGAAAGAGAAGAACUUCAAGGGGUGGUCUGCGAAGAGAGUGCUGUAAAGGGGUCUUCCCAGCAAGCGGGAGGAGGGCUUUGCUAACUUAAAGGGCCAAUAGAUUCAUCUCCUCAAAGUGUGAAAGCCCAGGAGCCUUGGCUGCUUACGAAGAGGCUAUCAGGUUCCCCUACAUAGAACAGUGACGAUUUGCUCCUGGGGACUGUCUGGUUCUUCCUUUGGUGCAGCAGUGAAGAGUUGACACAGAGGGGUCAUAUAUAUCUUUAUUU
ensembl:lncRNA